AGUUUUUCCCUUACAGCUACCGGGUGUGGGAACUCACCCAGCGCAUCCGACUGCACAAUGAAAAAAAGUAGUUUUCCUUUAUAAUGCGGCUUGGCCCCCAGGGCGAUGGUGCCACAAGCCAGAUCACUGGGACUCAGAGAAAGGGAACACAGAAGCCUGGCAUGCCAGCAAAAGGCAGGGUCUUUGUGACCAGUAUCUUGCGCCAAACUCCUGUCUCAUCCUGUGACUUAGAAUGCCUAACUUCCUGGGAAUGCAGCACAGGUCUCAGCCUCAUUUUCCCCAGCCCCUAUUCAAGAUGGAUUUGCUCUGGUUCAAAUGCUUCUGACAACAUUCCUCAUGGUGAAUGCUGGAUUUUGCAUGCCCGAGGCCCUGGGCCACACUGUAUGUUUGGUUUUUGCACGGGCUGUAUGGCUAUGACUAGUCAUGUGGACCCUGCAUUCCUAUGUAAAUGACCCUCCAUAAAAACCCCAGAAAUGAAUGCUUGAGUGAACUUCCCUGGCUUGUAUUAUAAU
rnacentral:antisense_RNA from 1 species